UACGUAGGCAGCGAGCGUUGUUCGGAGUUACUGGGCGUAAAGGGUGCGUAGGCGGUUGUUUAAGUUUGGUGUGAAAUCUCCCGGCUCAACUGGGAGGGUGCGCCGAAUACUGAAUGACUAGAGUGUGGGAGAGGUGCGUGGAAUUCCUGGUGUAGCGGUGAAAUGCGUAGAUAUCAGGAGGAACACCUGUGGCGAAAGCGGCGCACUGGACCACAACUGACGCUGAGGCGCGAAAGCGUGGGGAGCAAACAGG
rnacentral:rRNA from 1 species